AUUGAACGCUGGCGGCAUGCUUUACACAUGCAAGUCGAACGGCAGCGCGGGUUUCGGCCUGGCGGCGAGUGGCGAACGGGUGAGUAAUACAUCGGAACGUGUCCUGUAGAGGGGGAUAGCCCGGCGAAAGCCGGAUUAAUACCGCAUACGACCUACGGGUGAAAGCGGGGGAUCGCAAGACCUCGCGCUAUUGGAGCGGC
rnacentral:rRNA from 1 species